CCUACGGGAGGCAGCAGUGAGGAAUUUUGCGCAAUGGGCGAAAGCCUGACGCAGCGACGCCGCGUGGAGGAAGAAGGCCUUUGGGUUGUAAACUCCUUUCGUGAGGGAAAAAGUCCCGAGCAAUCGGGAUGAUGGUACCUCAAGGAGAAGCCACGGCUAACUCUGUGCCAGCAGCCGCGGUAAU
rnacentral:rRNA from 1 species